GGUAGAUCCAAAAGGAGGUCUUGGGACAGUAACUCUGGGAUCAGGAUCUUUAAAAGCUCAAUAACAUAGCUGGAGAGGUCUUGUGGUUGUAUGUCCUAUGGGACGCCAUGCAGGAGAACACUGCUGCAUCUAUCACGAUCUUCAUAAUCUGUGAUCUUGUCCAAGAGGCUGUGAAAUUUGAGGCUGAGCUCAUUGUAUGCGUCGGCUAAGGAGUUGUGUGCUUCUGUGAGCUCCUCCGUUUUGUCUUCCAGGUGGGCCGUUCUUUCCCAUAUUGCCUGGAUAUUCGUCCUGGUGUCUUUGGCCAG